rnacentral:rRNA from 2 species
UACGGAGGGUGCAAGCGUUGUUCGGAAUUAUUGGGCGUAAAGCGCGUGUAGGCGGCUAUUUAAGUCUGAUGUGAAAGCCCGGGGCUCAACCUCGGAAGUGCAUUGGAAACUGGUUGGCUAGAGUGCAGGAGAGGGUAGUGGAAUUCCAUGUGUAGCGGUAAAAUGCGUAGAUAUAUGGAGGAACACCGGUGGCGAAGGCGGCUACCUGGACCGAUACUGACGCUGAGACGCGAAAGCGUGGGGAGCAAAC